rnacentral:rRNA from 1 species
AUUGAACGCUGGCGGCAGGCUUAACACAUGCAAGUCGAACGAGUGGCGGACGGGUGAGUAAUGCCUGGGAACCUAGCUUAUGGAGGGGGAUAACUACGGGAAACCGUAGCUAAUACCGCUUACCAUAGUAUGUGCCCAAGUGGGAUUAGGUAGUUGGUGAGGUAAAGGCUCACCAAGCCGACGAUCUCUAGCUGGUCUGAGAGGAUGACCCGCCACACUGGGACUGAGACACGGCCCAGACUCCUACGGGAGGAAGCAGUGGGGAAUAUUGCGGAAUGGGGGAAACCUGACGCAGCCAUGCCGCGUGAAUGAAGAAGGCCUUCGGGUUGUAAAGUUCUGUCGGUAGCGAGGCGUUAACUACAGAGGAAGCACCGACGAACUCCGUGCCAGCCGCCGCGGUAAUAC